rnacentral:rRNA from 1 species
UACGUAGGGUGCGAGCGUUGUCCGGAAUUAUUGGGCGUAAAGAGCUCGUAGGCGGUUUGUUGCGUCGGCUGUGAAAACCUGCGGCUUAACUGUGGGCUUGCAGUCGAUACGGGCAGACUUGAGUUCGGCAGGGGAGACUGGAAUUCCUGGUGUAGCGGUGAAAUGCGCAGAUAUCAGGAGGAACACCGAUGGCGAAGGCAGCUCGCUGGGACGGUACUGACGCUGAGGCGCGAAAGCGUGGGGAGCAAACAGG